rnacentral:rRNA from 1 species
AGCGAACGCUGGCGGCAUGCUUAACGCAUGCAAGUCGCACGGGCGGGGGCAACUCCGUCAGUGGCGGACGGGUGAGUAACGCGUAGGAAUCUAUCCUUGAAUGGGGGACAACCGUGGGAAACUACGGCUAAUACCGCAUGAUGCCUGAGGGCCAAAGACGAAAGUCGUUUGAGGAGGAGCCUGCGUCUGAUUAGGUAGUUGGUGGGGUAAAGGCCUACCCAAGCCUACGAUCAGUAGCUGGUCUGAGAGGAUGAUCAGCCACAUUGGGACUGAGACACGGCCCAAACUCCUACGGGAGGCAGCAGUGGGGAAUAUUGGACAAUGGGCGCAAGCCUGAUCCAGCAAUGCCGCGUGGGUGAAGAAGGUCUUCGGAUUGUAAAGCCCUUUUGGCGGGGACGAUGAUGACGGUACCCGCAGAAUAAGCUCCGGCUAACUUCGUG